GACGAACGCUGGCGGCGUGCCUAACACAUGCAAGUGGAGCGACGAACCGGGCUUCGGCCCGGGGCCAAGCCGCGAACGGGUGAGUAACACGUGGGUAACCUGCCCUGAUGAUUGGGACAACCCGAGGAAACUCGGGCUAAUACCGAAUGUGCCCUCCGACCAUAAGGUCUGCGGGGAAAGGAAGCUUCGGCCUCCGCAUCGGGAUGGGCCCGCGGCGCAUUAGCUUGUUGGUGAGGUAACGGCUCACCAAGGCGACGAUGCGUAGCUGGUCUGAGAGGACGAUCAGCCACACUGGGACUGAGACACGGCCCAGACUCCUACGGGAGGGCAGCAGUGGGGAAUCUUGCGCAAUGCGCGAAAGCGUGACGCAGCAACGCCGCGUGGGGAAGACGGCC
rnacentral:rRNA from 1 species